rnacentral:rRNA from 1 species
GACGAACGCUGGCGGCGUGCUUAACACAUGCAAGUCGAACGGAAAGGCCCUGCUUUUGUGGGGUGCUCGAGUGGCGAACGGGUGAGUAACACGUGAGUAACCUGCCCUUGACUUUGGGAUAACUUCAGGAAACUGGGGCUAAUACCGGAUAGGAGCUCCUGCUGCAUGGUGGGGGUUGGAAAGUUUCGGCGGUUGGGAAUGGACUCGCGGCUUAUCAGCUUGUUGGUGGGGUAGUGGCUUACCAAGGCUUUGACGGGUGGCCGGCCUGAGAGGGUGACCGGCCACAUUGGGACUGAGAUACGGCCCAGACUCCUACGGGAGGCAGCAGUGGGGAAUAUUGCACAAUGGGCGGAGGCCUGAUGCAGCAACGCCGCGUGCGGGAUGACGGCCUUCGGGUUGUAAACCGCUUUCGCCUGUGACGAAGCGUGAGUGACGGUAAUGGGUAAAGAAGCACCGGCUAACUACGUG